UCCUGAAAUUACUAUUAAGUCAAAAAUGCUAGGUUAUACAGUGUUUAAGUUUGUCAGUAUUCACUUUUAGCAAAGAUAGGCUAUAUUGCCUAUAUAGUCCUUUACUUAUUGGAAAACAGACAUACUCAUGAGUCGUGACUCAUUCUGCACUCUACAGAUUUUUGUCCAAUCACAUGCUCUCUAGAAUAGGUUGGCCCCUCCCCUAAUGCCACCUGCAACCAUAGCAAGUAGAAAAUAAUGUCUGCAUCUGAAAGGUAUGAAAAGUUUGUUUCACAAACAUGUGGAUUUAGAGGAUCAGCUCUCUGUCUUUAUUAAUCUGGCAGCAUGCUGUGAGAAGGCCACCUGACUUUUAGAAGACAGAAACACUUACCAGAGCACUUCAGCAUCUCGGGACCGCAGCUGUAACGCAGUUAGCAGCGGUUUAAUUUAGCGAAGACGAGAAACAGAGACCUCCCACAGUUAUUAAUGGCUACUUGUGCCACUGCCAAUGGUCCGGUUUGAGGAAAGCCAACUGCAUCCUCUGCACCUUUUUUUUACCCGACUGUGACAAGAAACUGAGAGCAAAUGUGGGAAAAUGUGAAGACUGAAGCCUCACGAUGUGGCAUAACCACGAUUCGGUUCAUUUCUGACAGACCCUUCGAGGAGGAGGCUCUUCCUCUGUCAGGUGUGGACAUGCCUUAUUUGACACCACAGGAAACCGCAGAUCUGUUUGAACUUCCUGUAAGGUUGCCAUGGCUGCGCUUUUUAAGUAUCCCUCAGCAUUUGAUUUAUUUUGCACAUUGCGCAAAUUGAAAACGGAUCCAACAAUGAUCCUUGUCAUAAGGGAGGCUGCCGUCUUUGUCAGGACAUUACUCAUGCGCUCUUCUCCAGAGAUCCAUUCGACCGACAUCAAUUUAUCUGCUGCGGUCAAAAGAAAGCCAUAGGUCUUGUGGAGGUUUUAGACUCAAAGGGUCAAAGUUCACAAAAUGUGUUCUAGUAUCAAAGGCGCUGGGAGUAUCGGGAGAAAUCUGAAGUGUGUUUAUCCCAUCCAUCUCUUUGUGAACUGAAAACAGGACAUCACAGGAGACGACUCAAUCUUAAUGUUUGUGUUGGCUUUCUCCUCGAAGAGCGCGGUGGGUUUCGGGGUGUGUCUUGACAGAACGGCUCUCUCCACCUGUUUCUGCUUCGCACCAUCUAUCAGGUGUGUGCGUGUGGGAGGCAGGUGCACAGGAGCGGGAGUGCUUUUACUGUUGGGCUGUCAGGGAGGCCUGGAUCUCCCCCAGCCAGCUGUAAAUCCACAAAUGUGGCGAGUUGGUGGAUUUUACUGUUACUCUAUCUCAAGUCGGUUUCCCCCCCCGUGCUUUGCUUUAUGGAGAUGUCAGGCAGAAGCUGGGGGAGAAGGCAUUGGGUCCCAGGGAAAGAUUCAUCUUAUAAAUAAACCAAAUCCAAGAGUUAAUCGCUAAUGCUUUUCACACAC